rnacentral:ribozyme from 1 species
UAAGCGAGAAAGAGAAGAAAUGGAAGAAGAGAUAAUGAUGAUGAAAAGCUUAAUUAAACGAGGAGAUGAUCCGUUUUUGCCAUCUUCUUCCUCUAUCUCGUCUACUUUUUCAGCUCCAUCCUUUUUUCCUUUUUCUUCA